GCUACACAUGCAGUCGAGCGGUAACAGNAAGUAGCUUGCUACUUUGCUGACGAGCGGCGGACGGGUGAGUAAUGCUUGGGAACAUGCCUUGAGGUGGGGGACAACAGUUGGAAACGACUGCUAAUACCGCAUAAUGUCUACGGACCAAAGGGGGCUUCGGCUCUCGCCUUUAGAUUGGCCCAAGUGGGAUUAGCUAGUUGGUGAGGUAAUGGCUCACCAAGGCAACGAUCCCUAGCUGGUUUGAGAGGAUGAUCAGCCACACUGGAACUGAGACACGGUCCAGACUCCUACGGGAGGCAGCAGUGGGGAAUAUUGCACAAUGGCGCAAGCCUGAUGCAGCCAUGCCGCGUGUGUGAGAAGGCCUUCGGGUUGUAAAGCACUUUCAGUCAGGAGGAAAGGUUAGUAGUUAAUNACCUGCUAGC
rnacentral:rRNA from 1 species